rnacentral:rRNA from 1 species
ACGGAAGGCAGCAGUGAGGAAUAUUGGUCAAUGGACGGAAGUCUGAACCAGCCAUGCCGCGUGAAGGAAUAAGGCCCUAUGGGUCGUAAACUUCUUUUGUGGUGGAGCAAUAAGGUGCACGUGUGCAUCGAUGAGAGUACAUCACGAAUAAGCAUCGGCUAACUCCGUGCCAGCAGCCGCGGUAAUACGGAGGAUGCGAGCGUUAUCCGGAUUUAUUGGGUUUAAAGGGUGCGUAGGCUGUUCUUCAAGUCAGAGGUGAAAGACCGGGGCUCAACCCUGGAACUGCCUUUGAUACUGGAGGGCUUGAAUACUGUUGCCGUGGGAGGAAUGAGUAGUGUAGCGGUGAAAUGCAUAGAUAUUACUCAGAACACCGAUUGCGAAGGCAUCUCACGAAGCAGCGAUUGACGCUGAGGCACGAAAGCGUGGGGAUCAAACAGGAUUAGAUACCCUGGUA